UUUUUACUUUUUUCUAAAUUCAUCAAAUUUGCAGUGCUACUUUAUGUUAAAGAGACGGAUAUAUUUUAAAGAAUUUUAGCUCAAACAAUUUUGACACACAUUCAGGACUACUCAUAUCUACAUUUUUCUUAGCAGGUAAAGAGCGUUAGCGAGCAACUUAUUCGAAUUGAUAUUGUUAAUUUCAAUAAUUCAAUGAAAGGUGCACUUAAAUUUAACUCCAUAAACAGAUGGCAACAAUGAAACAUGGCGGAUAUUGAAGAUGACAAGUUAGCAGAAUUGGCUCGAACACGUGGACUAAAGCUAAUUUGGUUGUCUAAAAACAAAGAGCGGAAACAAGCGAAUUCCUUAUUAGAAGAAGAAGUAGACUUAAAUUUUAAAGAUGAGGUAAUUGCAUAUUAAACAUUUCAUAAAAACUU